rnacentral:tRNA from 1 species
GGGAAAUUAGCUCAAGUGGUAGAGCGCUUGCUUUGUAAGUGAGAGAGGCAGUGGGAUUGAUACCCCCAUUCUCUG